rnacentral:rRNA from 1 species
GACGGUAACAGCCCGGUAGUUGAAAUGGCUUUCCCUCCAGAGUGGAUCCUGAGUACGGCGGAACACGUGAAAUUCCGUCGGAAUCCGGGAGGACCAUCUCCCAAGGCUAAAUACUCCCUAGUGACCGAUAGUGAACCAGUACCGUGAGGGAAAGGUGAAAAGCACCCCGGAAGGGGAGUGAAACAGUUCCUGAAACCGUGUGCCUACAAGUAGUUAGAGCCCGUUAAUGGGUGAUAGCGUGCCUUUUGUAGAAUGAACCGGCGAGUUACGAUUUGUUGCAAGGUUAAGCGGAAAAAGCGGAGCCGUAGCGAAAGCGAGUCUGAAUAGGGCGCAUAAGUAACAGGUCGUAGACCCGAAACCAGGUGAUCUACCCAUGUCCAGGAUGAAGGUAAGGUAAUACUUACUGGAGGUCCGAACCCACGCACGUUGAAAAGUGCGGGGAUGAGGUGUGGGUAGCGGAGAAAUUCCAAUCGAACUUGGAGAUAGCUGGUUCUCUCCGAAAUAGCUUUAGGGCUAGCCUCGAGGUAAAGAGUCAUGGAGGUAGAGCACUGUUUGGACUAGGGGCCCUUCUCGGGUUACCGAAUUCAGAUAAACUCCGAAUGCCAUGUACUUAUACUCGGGAGUCAGACUGCGAGUGAUAAGAUCCGUAGUCGAAAGGGAAACAGCCCAGACCACCAGUUAAGGUCCCCAAAUAUAUGUUAAGUGGAAAAGGAUGUGGGGUUGCUUAGACAACCAGGAUGUUGGCUUAGAAGCAGCCACCAUUGAAAGAGUGCGUAAUAGCUCACUGGUCGAGUGACCCCGCGCCGAAAAUGUACCGGGGCUAAACAUAUUACCGAAACUGUGGAUGAACCUCUUUAGAGGUUCGUGGUAGGAGAGCGUUCUAAGGGCGGUGAAGUCAGACCGGAAGGACUGGUGGAGCGCUUAGAAGUGAGAAUGCCGGUAUGAGUAGCGAAAGAAGGGUGAGAAUCCCUUCCACCGAAUAUCUAAGGUUUCCUGAGGAAGGCUCGUCCGCUCAGGGUUAGUCGGGACCUAAGCCGAGGCCGAUAGGCGUAGGCGAUGGACAACAGGUAGAGAUUCCUGUACCAGUGCUAAUUGUUUAACCGAUGGGGUGACACAGAAGGAUAGGGAAUCGCACGAAUGGAAAUGUGCGUCCAAGCAGUGAGUGUGAGAAGUAGGCAAAUCCGCUUCUCGCGAAGCAUGAGCUGUGAUGGGGAAGGAAAUUAAGUACGGAAGUUCCUGAUUUCACGCUGUCAAGAAAAGCCUCUAGGAAGAGUAGUACUGCCCGUACCGCAAACCGACACAGGUAGAUGAGGAGAGAAUCCUAAGGUGAGCGAGAGAACUCUCGUUAAGGAACUCGGCAAAAUGACCCCGUAACUUCGGGAGAAGGGGUGCUCUAUUAGGGUGCAAGCCCGAGAGAGCCGCAGUGAAUAGGCCCAGGCGACUGUUUAGCAAAAACACAGGUCUCUGCAAA